rnacentral:rRNA from 1 species
GAUGAACGCUGGCGGCGUGCCUAAUACAUGCAAGUCGAGCGAACGGACGAGAAGCUUGCUUCUCUGAUGUUAGCGGCGGACGGGUGAGUAACACGUGGAUAACCUACCUAUAAGACUGGGAUAACUUCGGGAAACCGGAGCUAAUACCGGAUAAUAUUUUGAACCGCAUGGUUCAAAAGUGAAAGACGGUCUUGCUGUCACUUAUAGAUGGAUCCGCGCUGCAUUAGCUAGUUGGUAAGGUAACGGCUUACCAAGGCAACGAUGCAUAGCCGACCUGAGAGGGUGAUCGGCCACACUGGAACUGAGACACGGUCCAGACUCCUACGGGAGGCAGCAGUAGGGAAUCUUCCGCAAUGGGCGAAAGCCUGACGGAGCAACGCCGCGUGAGUGAUGAAGGUCUUCGGAUCGUAAAACUCUGUUAUUAGGGAAGAACAUAUGUGUAAGUAACUGUGCACAUCUUGACGGUACCUAAUCAGAAAGCCACGGCUAACUACGUGCCAGCAGCCGCGGUAAUACGUAAGUGGCAAGCGUUAUCCGGAAUUAUUGGGCGUAAAGCGCGCGUAGCGGUUUUUUAGUCUGAUGUGAAAGCCCACGGCUCAACCGUGGAGGGUCAUUGGAAACUGGAAAACUUGAGUGCAGAAGAGGAGAGUGGAAUUCCAUGUGUAGCGGUGAAAUGCGCAGAGAUAUGGAGGAACACCAGUGGCGAAGGCGACUUUCUGGUCUGUAACUGACGCUGAUGUGCGAAAGCGUGGGGAUCAAACAGGAUUAGAUACCCUGGUAGUCCACGCCGUAAACGAUGAGUGCUAAGUGUUAGGGGGUUUCCGCCCCUUAGUGCUGCAGCUAACGCAUUAAGCACUCCGCCUGGGGAGUACGACCGCAAGGUUGAAACUCAAAGGAAUUGACGGGGACCCGCACAAGCGGUGGAGCAUGUGGUUUAAUUCGAAGCAACGCGAAGAACCUUACCAAAUCUUGACAUCCUUUGACAACUCUAGAGAUAGAGCCUUCCCCUUCGGGGGACAAAGUGACAGGUGGUGCAUGGUUGUCGUCAGCUCGUGUCGUGAGAUGUUGGGUUAAGUCCCGCAACGAGCGCAACCCUUAAGCUUAGUUGCCAUCAUUAAGUUGGGCACUCUAAGUUGACUGCCGGUGACAAACCGGAGGAAGGUGGGGAUGACGUCAAAUCAUCAUGCCCCUUAUGAUUUGGGCUACACACGUGCUACAAUGGACAAUACAAAGGGCAGCGAAACCGCGAGGUCAAGCAAAUCCCAUAAAGUUGUUCUCAGUUCGGAUUGUAGUCUGCAACUCGACUACAUGAAGCUGGAAUCGCUAGUAAUCGUAGAUCAGCAUGCUACGGUGAAUACGUUCCCGGGUCU